GUGGGGAAUAUUGGACAAUGGGCGAAAGCCUGAUCCAGCCAUGCCGCGUGCAGGAUGAAGGCCUUCGGGUUGUAAACUGCUUUUGUACGGAACGAAAAGACUCCUUCUAAUAAAGGGGGUCCAUGACGGUACCGUAAGAAUAAGCACCGGCUAACUACGUGCCAGCAGCCGCGGUAAUACGUAGGGUGCAAGCGUUAAUCGGAAUUACUGGGCGUAAAGCGUGCGCAGGCGGUUAUAUAAGACAGAUGUGAAAUCCCCGGGCUCAACCUGGGAACUGCAUUUGUGACUGUAUAGCUAGAGUACGGUAGAGGGGGAUGGAAUUCCGCGUGUAGCAGUGAAAUGCGUAGAUAUGCGGAGGAACACCGAUGGCGAAGGCAAUCCCCUGGACCUGUACUGACGCUCAUGCACGAAAGCGUGGGGAGCAAACAGGAUUAGAUACCCCAGUAGUCC
rnacentral:rRNA from 1 species